GACAGCAACCACUUGCAGAGGGAAAAUGACUAAUACUACAAAUAGACUUUUCUCAAAAGCAUAAAGUUGCAGUAAUGGCUAUAUAAAUACCUAACACAACACCUCUUUUAAGAAAUGCAAACAAAACUAAGAGACAAAUAGAUGGCUUCCCAAAAUAAUAAGCACUUCUCAAGGAUUGGAGAAGUUCUUAGGUUUGUUUUAGUGCUUAUUCUUUUGUCUACCAACGUGUUCGCAAACAGGAACUUGCUUGCUGCCCCUAAUGGUGAAAAGAUGGGUAUUACGGUUGAGAAAGUGAAGAUGAAGGACGGACCUGAUAGGCCAUGGGAACCCGGCGGAGGAGGAUGAGGACGAGGACGCAACAAUAAAACCUAUAGAAAACACCAAACUUUAAAUUUAAGUUAAUGCUUCACAAUGAAUGAUUAUUAUUGAAAAAAAUUGUAAAAUAAGUAACAAAAUCAAUAUCAAUAUUAGAUGGAGAAGAAAUGAUAUUACGAAGGUUCAAAUGAAUAGAAGUACUUAUUCAAUCUUACUAUGAAAUUAAUAGAGAAUUCAAUUAAAUAGAGAAAAAAUAACAUUACACGAGA